rnacentral:rRNA from 1 species
GACGAACGCUGGCGGCGUGCUUAACACAUGCAAGUCGAACGGAAAGGCCCUGCUUUUGUGGGGUGCUCGAGUGGCGAACGGGUGAGUAACACGUGAGUAACCUGCCCUUGACUUUGGGAUAACUUCAGGAAACUGGGGCUAAUACCGGAUAGGAGCUCCUGCUGCAUGGUGGGGGUUGGAAAGUUUCGGCGGUUGGGGAUGGACUCGCGGCUUAUCAGCUUGUUGGUGGGGUAGUGGCUUACCAAGGCUUUGACGGGUAGCCGGCCUGAGAGGGUGACCGGCCACAUUGGGACUGAGAUACGGCCCAGACUCCUACGGGAGGCAGCAGUGGGGAAUAUUGCACAAUGGGCGGAAGCCUGAUGCAGCAACGCCGCGUGCGGAAUGACGGCCUUCGGGUUGUAGACCGCUUUCGCCUGUGACGAAGCGUGAGUGACGGUAAUGGGUAAAGAAGCACCGGCUAACUACGUG